rnacentral:rRNA from 1 species
UACAGAGGGUGCUAGCGUUGUUCGGAAUCAUUGGGCGUAAAGGGCGUGUAGGCGGUUUGUUAAGUCAUGUGUGAAAUCCCCGGGCUUAACCUGGGAAUGGCAUUUGGGACUGCAAGGCUUGAGUGCGGCAGAGGAGACUGGAAUUCCUGGUGUAGCAGUGAAAUGCGUAGAUAUCAGGAGGAACACCGAUGGCGAAGGCAGGUCUCUGGGCUGACACUGACGCUCAUGCACGAAAGCGUGGGGAGCAAACAGG